rnacentral:rRNA from 1 species
AGAGUUUGAUCCUGGCUCAGGAUGAACGCUGGCGGCGUGCCUAACACAUGCAAGUCGAGCGAUCUUCUUCGAAGAGAGCGGCGGACGGGUGAGUAACGCGUGGGUAACCUGCCUCAUACACAUGGAUAACAUACCGAAAGGUACGCUAAUACAAGAUGAUAUAAGAGAUUCGCAUGGAUUUCUUAUCAAAGCUCCGGCGGUAUGAGAUGGACCCGCGUCUGAUUAGCUAGUUGGUAAGGUAACGGCUUACCAAGGCGACGAUCAGUAGCCGACCUGAGAGGGUGAUCGGCCACAUUGGAACUGAGACACGGUCCAAACUCCUACGGGAGGCAGCAGUGGGGAAUAUUGCACAAUGGGCGAAAGCCUGAUGCAGCAACGCCGCGUGAGCGAUGAAGGCCUUCGGGUCGUAAAGCUCUGUCCUCAAGGAAGAUAAUGACGGUACUUGAGGAGGAAGCCCCGGCUAACUACGUGCCAGCAGCCGCGGUAAUACGUAGGGGGCUAGCGUUAUCCGGAUUUACUGGGCGUAAAGGGUGCGUAGGUGGUCUCUUAAGUCAGGAGUGAAAGGCUACGGCUUAACCGUAGUAAGCUCUUGAAACUGGGAGACUUGAGUGCAGGAGAGGAAAGUGGAAUUCCUAGUGUAGCGGUGAAAUGCGUAGAUAUUAGGAGGAACACCAGUAGCGAAGGCGGCUUUCUGGACUGUAACUGACACUGAGGCACGAAAGCGUGGGGAGCAAACAGGAUUAGAUACCCUGGUAGUCCACGCCGUAAACGAUGAGUACUAGUGUCGGGGGUUACCCCCCUCGGUGCCGCAGCUAACGCAUUAAGUACUCCGCCUGGGGAGUACGCUCGCAAGAGUGAAACUCAAAGGAAUUGACGG